rnacentral:rRNA from 1 species
AACUUUGAGCGGUGGAUCACUCGGCUCGUGCGUCGAUGAAGAGCGCAGCCAGCUGCGUGAAUUAAUGUGAAUUGCAGAACACAUUGAACAUCGACACCUUGGACGCAAAUGGCGGCCUCGGGCACAUCCCGGGUCCACGCCCGUCUGAGGGUCGGCA